UACUCCGGAUCCCUAGACAAGUGUCAGGUGCACCAGGUCCCUGCUGCUCUGAGGUGAGAAGGGAAGAGGGUUCUCCACACCUAGGGUUCCCACACAAAUAUGGGGACAAACCUGGGUCCCCCCAGAGUAUUUUUACAAGAGUGCUCCACAGGCCCAAAGUAAUCUGAAUCUCCACAUCUCUGCCACCAGCUAUGUGAAGAUACCUUUCACAUUAUGUUGGAAUGGUAGAGAACAUAUUUAAUGUUUUGGGAGAUUUUUUGGUCUGUUUUACUUUUUACUUUUCACAAGGCCAAGUGUAUCUUUGCACUUUACUACUGUUUUUAUUAUUUCACCUAUUCGCCCCAGAUAUCCUGUGUAGAACUCAGCUCCAUUGUCCUUGCAGAACUUCUCCAAGCCCUUACAAACCAUCACACUAAAAAGAGUGAUUUAACACAAGAGAAAGUGUGGGACGAAGCCAUUCUAUAUUUUUCUCUGCAACAUGUCAUCUCUCAGAAUACAUCAAAUCAUUGUAGGACCAACAGGUCACAAGCUCUGUCCCUAUAUGUCUUCAUAAUAUUCCAUAAAGGAGGUCAUCUGCCUACUGUAAUUUAGCAUUUCAAGGCAGUUGGAACUUAACAUGAUUCAAUUCUGUUACCAUUUCAGCAGUGCUUCAAGGAACACCUUAAGUGUCCUGUUUUAAUUCAAGAUCUAACAUAACAUAGAACCACAGAUUGGGUGGAAGGCCACUGAUGCCUCCUGGCCCAGGCCACUGGUUCUGUUUUUUCAGAGUUCCACCCAGGAAAUCCAUGAUGAGCUGCUCCAAAGGUUCAGCAGCUCAGUCUCCCUUGACAAGUAGCAGGUGCAUCAGGCCACCAACAACAAGUGCUGGUCUGGAGUGAGAACAGGUUCAGAUUCAUUUGUAAUCUCAGGACCCAGAGAGAAUUAGGGCAAGCCCAGUACCCAGACUAGAAACAACUGGCUCUCUUAGGGCCUGCUGAAGAAGGUGGUUCCCCCCAGAACCUUUCUCCCCAUGUCAGGAACAGACCAACCCUCAUAAGCUUAGAGGAAAUUCCAUGCAGCUCUUCUUUAGACUAUUCUCAGGCCCAACAUACAUAAUCUUAAGCAGCAUUUGAGAUUCUAACCCUCUGUUUGUCCCAACUACACUGGAGAUGUUUACUGAUGAUGACUUACUGGCAUACUGCCCUUAAUAGAGGCUAUUAAUAGAAGUGCUACUGUUGCUCAGUUAACAGAAUGCCUUGGUUACCUUUUUUUUUUUUUUAAUUUUUUACCCCUAAAGCCAACUAUACUUUUAAGCCUAGAACCUCUUUCUGUGUGGGCACUCAAGUUCCUUCUCUUGUACAAGUUCCCAAAAGGAUGGGAGUCUCUGGUCAGAGUGCCUGAUCCUGAUCUUCCCAGUGGUUCAUUGUGUUGAAGCUGAUUACAUUGCCCCCCUCUUGUUUACUUGGUGUGAAAAGGAAUCAACUCUGUCCAUGGGUGAGGCCUGCAUGACGCUGAUUUCAAGGAAGGAAUAGAGAAUCUCAUACAGUCCCUAGCACCAUCCUUCUAAGAUAGAAAUACCUCAAACAUCACAACCAUUUUCUGCAUAUACCAGGUUUUCACUUCAGCCCAGCAGGCCCUAGUCCAGCAGUUCAAUAGGUGAAUGCUCACACCAUAGCACAGGGGUGAUCCUCCCAUCUACUAGUUGUAUGUCUUGGGAAUAUCACUGCACCUCUCUGAGCCCCACUUUCCUCUUCUGAAAAGUGGUGUGGUAAGAGGAUGAACUUCAUAGGGCUACUGUGGGAAAUCAUAGGAGAAAAUGUGGCAUGGGCUUAGCUGGUGCCUGGCUCUGUAGAAAGGGCUCCUGGACAUGUUGAGCACUUUCAUGUUUAAUAGUUCUCGCUCUCCAGUGAAGAAGCUCUCAAACUCCACCCUCAUGGCCUUUGGCCCUGAAGGAUUUAUAAAAGUGAAUGGAAAUCAGGCAGUUUUCCUGUUUGCAAAGGACUUCUAAGAUUCCAUCUAGCUUUUCCUGGUACUUGUCAUUUACAUGGCCAGAUUAGGGGUCACUGGGGGCAGGCAGAGAAGCCCAAGUUCCACACAGUAUCUGGAAAGUACUGGUUAGGAUUCCUUCAUUCAACAAUAUAUAUUAAGCACUUGAUAAUGUGGGCACUUUUCUAGUCACUAUGAUAAUUCAGUGAAUAAAUAAGACACAAUGCCUGGAUCUCAAUUCUAGUCAGAGGGUCAGACAGCACUCAUGUCCAUCAUCAUUAGAUGUGACAUCUUCAUAGCCUCCUCUAGGUAUGAAUGGAUCCACCCAUAUUUGCAACUUUGUGAUGGACUAUAAGACCAAAUAAAAACAUGAUUUUAGUUUGGGCCCAGAAAGAGGGCCUCCUGCCUCCACAAAGCAGGGUGGGUAUCUACAAGGGUUGUGGCUGGGGAGGGACUUUCAGAACCAUGGAUCUCACAAUCUCUUGAUUUCCAUGGGAGGGCUUAAGUUUGGGAGGUUUCUGGGAAGAAGAAAAUGAGUCAAAGAGAGCUAUGGAUGGGGUCCCAAGCCAUCUGGGAGCAGAGCACAGUCUGGGCUGAGUUAGUGCCUCAAAGACCCAUCCUUUCCACUGUCCCAUCUUGGUAUCCCUGCCCCUCUCCAUACCACCUCUGCUGACCACCACAACUGGGGCCAAGAACAGAAGUUGUGGUAAGCAGAGUGCUCACAAAUCUGCCUCAAACCUAAGCCCUGAUACUGGUCUGCAUGGAGUAACGAGUACCCUAGGCCCAUGACCAUGGAGAGAAGAGGUAAAGUAGAAAAACCAGAAUCAUACAGGUUUUCUGGAUGACCAGACCUUCCACUUCAAGGGCAGCUACAGUGGGGUUGGAAGUGGGCUAGGUCAUCCUCUGGGACCCACAUAGAAAGAAUGAUGCUGUGCGAAUACCAUGUGGAAUGAAAGGCCAGGCCUCUGCCUCUACUUCUCAUAUGACUCUCCUCAGCAUCCUCUCUCCAUCUUGAGUACCUGGCUUGACCAGUAAUUGCAGGCUACCUGGCAGUCCCUGCACUGUGCCCAUUUUGAGGUGAAGGUGGCCUAUGUGCAUGUGAAGGGAAUGACUGGGAUCUGAAGAACCAUGGCACACUUAUCCUGCUGCAGUGGGAACUUUUGGAGCCCACUGAGGCAGAGGCAGACGGUGAGUGGGAUUGAAAGCUGGCAACAAUAUUGGGUUGGGGUCAUGGGCUGGGUAUUCCUUUGAAGGCCAUGGGUUCUGUCUUGUUUUUGGAAAGGCACAUGGAAAGUCAGUUAUGUGGAUGAACCUUGCUAUUUAUCCUGCUCUAGUGUCAGCUCCAGGGCUCCUUCCAGCUGCUAAUCCAGAAAAAGGGCCUACUAUGGAGCUAGAGACAAACCCACCUCUGCUUCAACCAUCACCUCAAGCAUCAGAGCCAGCAUCAUCUCCAUCAGCCAUUCCAGAACUGGAACAGGGCUCACAUUUUCUGCAUGCAUGCCAUAUCCUGAGUUGCAGUCAGCUCAACCAUCAUCAUUACAUGGAAUUUAAACCCCAGUUCUAAAAACAGAGACAGAGCCAACUCCAGCCCCAUAUGCUUUCUGCCCUAAAGAACCAGCUGAAUGCGGAGAAUGGACUUUCCUCCCAAGUCAGUGGUAGAGCAACUGAUGUACACAGAUGUGGUGAGCAGCUCGGCUGUCAGGGUGGGUCAGGGGCACAUGUUACCUCUGCCAGCAGCUGCCCCAAACCUGGCUUUCCCUGAUGCAUACUCCUAUAGUCUGGGUCCAAAUCUCAGCUCCACCAUUUACCAACCAUGUCAACCCAUCAAGAUCCUUAAGCUCAAGCCUUCACUGUCCAGCUGUGGUCUCUAGAGAUAGACACUGAUAAGAACUGAUGCAAAUUGUGUAGAUUAAAUGAGCCAGAGCAGAAGUUGGAAGGCCCUGGUCCUUGGGGGGGGGGGCAGCUCACUGUGUGCAGCCAAAUGCAUGGGUCACCCCCCCAUUUGCCUUGGAGGCUAAGCAACCUCCACACUUAUUAGGGAACUGAUGGAUACUUAAGCAUGGGGGCAAACAAAACUGGUUAUAGCUACCAUGUAAGAAUGCAUGGCCCAGCUGAAAGGGGAGUAGGACCAGAGGGAUGAACAGUUGGAGGUGAAGAUGUCCCCUUGUGAGGAGUUGCCUUGAACUGUCACCUGGAGCUUGAAGUUUGUGAAGAUGAUCAGGGUGCAAAUGCCCUCCAUUCCCUCCCUGCCAGUAUUCCCUCCUGGGUCAUCCUGUACUGAGUUCUCACAGUAAAAAAGAAUGGAAUGAAAUCCAGAGAGUCUAAUCAGGCUCAGGCCACAUUCUUGGCUUCCUGAACUCCAGCUCUAACCUGUGACCCCUCCCUAGGACAUUAGUUUUGCAUGUGAAGUGGCUGGGUGAACAAAACACUGCCUGUUCACUAGGAGCUUUUCAAGAGGUGCUGCCCCAUCAGUGCCUGGACUCCAUCUAGUCCAAGUGGAAUAAGCCUGGCAAUGAGCACCUGGCACCAACAGUCCAUGCCACCAUCAUCCAGUUCAGUGGUGUGGCCAAAUGUGUCAUCACCAUGUACUGUGGCAACCCAAGCAUGACAGCCCAGGACAGGCUGUACAGACAGUGGUGGAUCACUGGAUAAAGUGGCCAAGGUAUGCUAUAGGAGGCCCAACUGAGUUUCUCUACAACUCUACAGUCCCUAGGUUCUUCCUUCCAGAGACAUGCUGACCUUCACUUGCAUGGCCCAAUGUUGAGAUGCUCAGUUCCUACCUGGCUCCUUCCUUGAAGUGAGGUAAAAUUCUCCCUCUCCCCAGAAGUGUUACUUUUUGGCUCUUACAUGUGCCCUUCUGCAGGUCCCUGGACUUCAUCCAGGAGGGGAGAUUUAAACUGAGGGAGACUGAAGGUCCUGCUACCCACCUGACAGCUCAUUCUCCUCCCUCUCCCAGCCUGUAAAAUCUUGUAGAAAUAUUCUUCACUUCAUGCCAUCCUCUCUGCUCUUCAGAGUGCCUCAAUUCACUGCCUGAAGAAGACAUGGGAGAAAGUUUCCAGGAGUAGCCAUCUAAAUUUGUCACCUUGGUGAUGGACUUCUGGAGAGCCCAGAAAAGGCUGCAGAUGAAGGGUGUUGUCUCCUUCCUUGCCACUUUCUUCACUGAUCUGAUGAUGCUGGACAUGGCAAUGGAGAAGUACCUGGAGGGGAAUGAGAUCAACCACCAGAAAAAGAAUAAGGUGAGCAUCUGUGUCACUUCUAUAGGGAAAGGUAGAGGAGCAGGUAUCAGAGAUGUCCCUGGGAAGAACAUUCCUUGGCUUUCUAUCCCUUCCACCUCACAUAUACUGGGGUAGUUUGAUAAUAAAUAAGUGGAAGACCCAUUCAGUGAGUAAGUGCGGAUAGAGGAAUGGCAUCAAGGAUAACUUCCUGGAGGAGGGGCCAUAUUUACUCUACCUGAGAACAGGUAGGAACUGGAUGAAUUUUCAGGAAGGAGGGUUGGCAUGUGUGCAAAGACCCGAGACUGAUCCUCUGGCCCACUGCUCAAUCCUCACAAAGCCCUGCAGCUUUCCUACCCAGGCUCUAUAUGCAUCCUGUCCUUCUCUCUUGGCCCAGGAAUACAAAGUAAUGACAGAGAUCAUGCUGCUCCAGGUGGCUGCAGGUAAUUACAACCUACAGCCCAAGGAUCCAUGUAGGGCCUCAUUCAAGUCUAUGGAGUGGCUCAACAAGGAUGAGAAGUGAGACCCAUCAGGAGCCGGGUGAGGGUAGAGGUGGACUCUUUCUGGUGGCCACUCUGGGGAUCCAUCUUCCUUGGCUCCCUGAGCAACCUCAAGCCCUCUUGCUUGGGCAGCAGACUCUGGCUGCUGGGAAAACACUGGGAAGGACUCCUGAAUUGAAGUUCCUGGUCAACUCACACAUGUCACUCUGUCCUUAGCUACCUCCUGUCCUGCCAGCUGAAGCCCCAGUCCUGGCUGGCCAGCAGAACUCAAGAACAAAAAGAACUGGCCACAGUCAAGCACAGGGCUGAGUGAGUGUCCAGUGGUAAUGCAAUGUUUCCUCAACAGCUGGAGCACUUGUGGUACUUGGGCCCCAUCUGCUCAACAUCCCUUCCUCCCAUCUAUUCAAUUACUUUGAGGGGCAAUAUUUAAUUUUCUUAAAUAGUAAGUGGCAGCUUUGAAUAUUAUAUUAAAUCCCUCUUUCUUUUACAGCCCAGGUGUGUGGUUUGGUUCUUUUACUUCCUACAAUAAUUUAAAUGAUGCACAGUCUCUCAUAUUCUUUCUUGAACUCAGAAAUCUUACAGAUUCAAUAGUUAUUGUAUAUGGGAGAAAGGAGAAGAGCCAGCUCUCUUCACUAGCUACUGGGUAUCACCCUCAAGUCCCCUUUACUCAGAGGCCAGGUUCAUUUCAGUAUUGAAACGAAUUUGGGCAAACAGCAGAGAAAGCCUCUCAGAACUCCUGAGACUUAGAAUUUGAAGGUACUUUCACAGGAAUAGCAACAACCCCUGAAAUUGGGUGUCUUUAAGGGUAACACAUGCCAGAACUACUUCCUGCCACAGGACAGUGGUUGCCUUUCUUCACACUAAAGAAAAGAGGAGUAUUUUCUGAUUCUUUUGUUGAUGUGGUUUGGUUUAGUUUGGUUUGUUUUUUUUUUUUUGACCCAAUAUUUGGAAAUUGCAGUUUUCUAGUUCAAUUUCUGGAAUUGUAUCAGCGCUAAAUGGUGAAAACAUGUAAAGGGAUCAAAUCCUGCAUGUGGAGGGGACAAGGCCAGAGGAAGAUAAUUUGCAAAUAGACUAAGGGCAGACAGGACUUUCCAUCCUCUGUCUUGCUCUAGGGGCUCCAGGUUCACCCUUUACCUAGAUUGAAAUCCUCCUGGGAUCCUGUCAAUGAUCUCUGAAUUUCUCUUUCUGCUUGCUUUGUAUUUGGGGAAGAGGUGUGUGGUGGACCUUUAAGGCCACAGCUGG